rfam:Lasius niger Lnig_2.1_10647, whole genome shotgun sequence.
CAAACGGCCCUUUUCAGGGCCACCACCAAAUACAACGAGAACACU